ACUGCUUAGAGAGGGCUGUGAAGCACUGUGAAGUGAUUGAUAUUUACUUGCUGUCUGAAGUUAUUUUGGCUGUCACGGAGUUAAAAACUGCAAACCCAUAUCAACAUGUUUCACUUCAAGACAUAUAUUGACAAUAUUCAGAAGUUGAGCUUACGAUACAACGAGGUUUGCUCUCAUUUCCAUUUUCAUGAACCAAGGAUGCUGAACAAUAAGUUCUGGGAGAGUCAGGAGUGACACAUUCGUACUUUAUAAUAAAUAUGGGUGAUUGUGUGAGUUACUCCCAUUAAGUUUAAUAGUAGCCACAUGGUAAAUUUCCCUCUGAUUGCACCAUGGCUCUCGGCCAUCGUCUGAUUGCACAAGACAGUAUUUGGAUGAAAGAUCGACUAACCAAAAUUAAGUACCACAGGAAGUCGUGGGAUUGACUAAGAACUCACAUUUGGAGCACUGCUUAAUGAGUCUUCAGAGAACUUAUGUUGCAGAAUACAAUGAAGAUUUCUGGAAUAAAUAAUGCUUGGAGCAGAUG